rnacentral:tRNA from 1 species
CGUCUCCAGGGCGGCGGUGGCCGCGGCCAGUUCGGCGGUCGCGGUCCGCAGCAGGGCCUGCGCCUGUUCCGCGUCGGCGGGGACGA